rnacentral:misc_RNA from 1 species
CAUUAGUGAUUGACCUCCGGGUCUUAAUAACUAUAAUCUUCUACCUCUGUGAACCGUUGGUCUUCGGACCGAUUCUUAUUACAAACAUCUGUGUAAUGAACGUAACCUAUAUUAAUCAUAUAAAACUUUUAACAACGGAUCUCUUGGCUCUCGCAUCGAUGAAGAACGCAGCGAAAUGCGAUAAGUAAUGUGAAUUGCAGAAUUCAGUGAAUCAUCGAAUCUUUGAACGCACCUUGCGCCUUUUGGUAUUCCGAAAGGCAUGCCUGUUUGAGUGUCAUGAAAUAUCAACCCCUCCUGGUUUCUGAUCAGUGUUGGGCUUGGACUUGGGUGUCUGCCAGUUCGCUGGCUCGCCUUAAAAGAGUUAGUGGUAAUAACAUCCACGGCUAAGACGUAAUAAGUUUCGUCUGGUCAAGGUGUGACGACUGCUCAUAACCCGACCGCAAGGUCAUUAUUUUAUGCUCUGACCUCAAAUCAGGUAGGACUACCCGCUGAACUUAAGCAUAUCAAUAAGCGGAGGA